UGGAUCCUUGUGAGACAUCACCUUGCGACACUCACAAGACUUGCCUGUGUAGCGAGAAGACACCUUCAGCCAAAUAUCUGCCUCUAGUACCUCGGCUUACCAAUGCCUUCACCUUGAGAGCAGUUCCAUUAAGCCAAAUGUCUGCCUCUAGUACCUCGGCUUACCAACACCUUCACCCUGAGAGCAGUUUCACUAAGCCAAAUAUCUACCUCUAGUACCUCGGCUUACCAACGCCUUCACCC
rnacentral:lncRNA from 1 species